rnacentral:rRNA from 1 species
UGGCCUUGACAUGCAUAGCAUUUUCCAGAGAUGGAUUGGUGCCUUCGGGAACUCUGACAC